UACGAAGGGGGCUAGCGUUGCUCGGAAUCACUGGGCGUAAAGGGUGCGUAGGCGGGUCUUUAAGUCAGGGGUGAAAUCCUGGAGCUCAACUCCAGAACUGCCUUUGAUACUGAGGAUCUUGAGUACGGGAGAGGUGAGUGGAACUGCGAGUGUAGAGGUGAAAUUCGUAGAUAUCUACUGGAACGCCGAUGGUGAAGACGCUCGGCUGGGCCUUUCCUGACGCUGAGGCACGAAAGCGUGGGGAGCAAACAGG
rnacentral:rRNA from 1 species